rnacentral:rRNA from 1 species
UACGGAGGGUGCAAGCGUUAAUCGGAAUUACUGGGCGUAAAGCGCACGCAGGUGGCUGAGUCAGUCGAUUGUGAAGCCCUGGGCUUAACCUGGGAAUUGCAGUCGAUACUACUCAGCUAGAGUAUGGGAGAGGGUAGUGGAAUUCCCGGUGUAGCGGUGAAAUGCGUAGAUAUCGGGAGGAACAUCAGUGGCGAAGGCGGCUACCUGGCCCAAUACU